AAAUAUACUUAGGCACAUAGCAUUCAUCAGCGAAAAUAAAUGGUUUAUACCUUUAGUAGAAGCACUUGAAAUCCAGCUUUAAAAUCAUGACACUCACGGCGACGCGGCGGAGUCCCCGUGAGUGUCAUGAUUUUAAAGCUGGAUUUCAAGUGCUUCUACUAAAGGUAUAAACCAUUUAUUUUCGCUGAUGCAUGCUAUGUGCCUAAGUAUAUUU